AGGACGAACGCUGGCGGCGUGCUUAACACAUGCAAGUCGAACGGUGAAGGAGAGCUUGCUCUCCGGAUCAGUGGCGAACGGGUGAGUAACACGUGAGUAACCUGCCCUUGACUCUGGGAUAAGCGUUGGAAACGACGUCUAAUACCGGAUACGAGCUUCAGCCGCAUGGCUAGGAGCUGGAAAGAAUUUCGGCAAGGAUGGACUCGCGGCCUAUCAGCUAGUUGGUGAGGUAAUGGCUCACCAAGGCGACGACGGGUAGCCGGCCUGAGAGGGUGACCGGCCACACUGGGACUGAGACACGGCCCAGACUCCUACGGGAGGCAGCAGUGGGGGAAUAUUGCACAAUGGGCGCAAGCCUGAUGCAGCAACGCCG
rnacentral:rRNA from 1 species